UUCUCUGAAAACGUCACGGAAAAUUCAUCAAAGAUUAACAGGUUUUUUAUAGUACCUCAAAGUAACUUGAAUAUUAGAUUCAAUUAACUUGAAUAUCAGAUUCAAUUAGGUGGUCAAGAUCGUCAUGUGACUUAAACACACUGACUAGAACUAUGGAUUGAUGUACGUAGUAUCACUGCCUAAGCUUAUAUUUUUAGGACUUAAUCUAUGUGCGUCACUGGCUUGGUUCAGAGAAUUGUGUUAGCUCGUCUAAGUUUUC
rnacentral:lncRNA from 1 species